rnacentral:rRNA from 1 species
UAGCCGUAAACGAUACUCGCUAGGUGUCGGCCACGGUGCGACCGUUGUCGGUGCCGUAGGGAAGCCGUGAAGCGAGCCACCUGGGAAAUACGGCCGCAAGGCUGAAACUUAAAGGAAUUGGCGGGGGAGCACCACAACGGGUGGAGCUUGCGGUUUAAUUGGAUUCAACGCCGGAAAUCUUACCGGGACCGACAGCAACAUGAAGGCCAGGCUGAAGACUUUGCCGGAUUAGCUGAGAGGAGGUGCAUGGCGUAGUCGUGU